CUUGAGCGAGCCGAGCAUCAGCGGUCGUUCCCCGGCCCGGUCCUGACCGUAGGUCGCGAGCAGGGCCUGGGCCUC
rnacentral:antisense_RNA from 1 species